AGAGUUUGAUCCUGGCUCAGCCUGAACGCUGGCGGCGUGGCUAAGACAUGCAAGUCGAACGGGUGUAGCAAUACACCAGUGGCGGACGGGUGAGUAAUGAAUCGCUAACGUACCCCGGAGCCAGGGAUAGCUGCCCGAAAGGGCAGGUAAUACCUGAUGAGACCACAGGCAGGCAUCUGCCGGUGCUCAAAGCCGCAAGGCACUCUGGGAGCGGGCGAUUUUGUAUCAGCUAGUUGGUGAGGUAAUGGCUCACCAAGGCGACGACGCAUAGCCGGACUGAGAGGUUGGCCGGCCACAUUGGGACUGAGACACUGCCCAGACUCCUACGGGGGGCUGCAGUAACGAAUCUUCCGCAAUGCACGAAAGUGUGACGGAGCGACGCCGCGUGUAGGACGAAGCCCUUCGGGGUGUAAACUACUGUCAGGGGAAAGAAAGUUCUGAUCUACCCCAGAGGAAGGGACGGCUAACUCUGUGCCAGCAGCCGCGGUAAGACAGAGGUCCCGAGCGUUAGGCGGAAUCACUGGGCUUAAAGCGUGUGUAGGCGGAUUUGUAAGUACCUUGUGAAAUCCCACGGCUUAACCGUGGAACUGCUUGGUAUACUGCUUAUCUUGGGCCAUCUAGGGGCGAGCGGAACAAACGGUGGAGCGGUGAAAUGCGUAGAUAUCGUUUGGAACGCCAAUGGUGAAAACAGCUCGCUGGGGAUGUGCCGACGCUGAGAUACGAAAGCCAGGGGAGCGAACGGGAUUAGAUACCCCAGUAGUCC
rnacentral:rRNA from 1 species